GGUUGACACUGGUCUACUACCAGGUCAUGUGUCUUCUCAGUCAUGUUGACACUGGUCUACUACCAGGGCAUGUGUCUUCUCAGUCAUGUUGACACUGGUCUACUACCAGGUCAUGUGUCUUCUCAGUCAUGUUGACACUGGUCUACUACCAGGUCAUGUGUCUUCUCAGUCAGGUUGACACUGGUCUACUACCAGGUCAUGUGUCUUCUCAGUCAUGUUGACACUGGUCUACUACCAGGUCAUGUGUCUUCUCAGUCAUGUUGACACUGGUCUACUACCAGGUCAUGUGUCUUCUCAGUCAUGUUGACACUGGUCUACUACCAGGUCAUGUGUCUUCUCAGUCAUGUUGACACUGGUCUACUACCAGGUCAUGUGUCUUCUCAGUCAGGUUGACACUGGUCUACUACCAGGUCAUGUGUCUUCUCAGUCAUGUUGACACUGGUCUACUACCAGGUCAUGUGUCUUCUCAGUCAUGUUGACACUGGUCUACUACCAGGUCAUGUGUCUUCUCAGUCAGGUUGACACUGGUCUACUACCAGGUCAUGUGUCUUCUCAGUCAGGUUGACACUGGUCUACUACCAGGUCAUGUGUCUUCU